GAACUUAUAUGCAAGGCGGAUCACAGUAGUUUUGAUGACUUUCGGAAUGACAAAUAUAGUAUAUAUUAGACACUUUAAAAAAUAUCAUUGCUAUUUUGCUUUUAUUAUAUUAUCCACUUUUUCUCAACGAAAAUUCAGCAGUUAUUACCGUUGUGUAUAUUACUCAGCUGCAUAAAAUCGUAUAGAUACUAGGAAGAAUGUGGUUAUUGGAACUUUGUAUUAUGUUAAAAUUACACAAUAAUUUGCAUUUUGAGGUCAAUAUGAUGCUUUAGUUAUACCCCUUAAGUUCAACAUUGAUAUAUCUUAAUGCAUAAAUGAAUGAUUCCGAGCUCUCUGAUUGGUUGAAUGAUUCCGAGCUUUCUGAUUGGUUGAGAAAAACCAAACUAAAAAAAGGACGUUAAAUCCACAUCAUCGUGUCUUCGAAGUGAACAUACACUGUAACAUUUGAUUUUUCCAACCACGGACCAAAAAUAGAUUGGGAAUUCCCAAAUUGAUACGAUUGGUUAGUAUUCUUGGUUGUCCAAUAAAAACUUUGAUGACUUUUGACUAAGUCUUGCAUUUUAACUGUAAACAAAGAUGGCCGACCAGAAAUCGUUUUGUAAGCUUUACCAGCCGGUUUCGUUGUUUUCGGGCUUGGUGAUUAUUGUACUUCUCAGUUUUAAGUUUUAACCUAAAAAUAUCAGUAAUUUUAUAAUUUUAUGGAAUUGAACACAUUAACUAAAGCUGUGUAUUAACCUAAAAAUAUCAGUAAUUUUAUAAUAUUAUAGAAUUGAACACAGUAACUAAAGCUGCGUAUUAACCUAGAAUAUAUCAGUAAUCAUAGCAUAACAUUGGUUUCGUGUAAGUGAUAUGAAACCGUGAAGAUAACAAACAGGGAUCAAUCCCAUAAGGAAAACAGAAUUGAGGAUAGGACAAACAUCGAUCAUAGAAUUUGCGAAAUUUUGAAUCUAAACGAGACUGUUAAGACCCCUGUAACUUCUUUUCUUUGGAGGAUAUUAGUCCAAGUUCAGAUGUACUUUUCAGAAAGUUUCAGGAAGAACGUUCCUUCGUGAAAAGAGAAGGAGAUGUAAACACAGAUGUAAAUGAGGAGGAGAAUGCGCUACCUGUCGGGCCACGGUACGUUAAUGAAUUGCUGCCACCAUCUGCCGAUGACCAUUGUGACGUAGAAGCCCAGGACAAACGACACAGUUGAUAGGUUCCAGGGGCACAGCUUUUGCAGUAGUUAGACCCAGGCUGGUCCUGGUAUGUGCCCGGGGGACAGAAUGAACACCACUGCAGACCGCCCCCACUGUUGUACUGACCAGCAGGGCAGGACACACACUGACCGUCUUUUCCAUAUGUUCCCGCCGGACAAGCUAAACAAAGUGGAUCCAGAAAAUGUUCAAAGCCGGGUGGAGUUGUGACCCAUUUGUACCUUUUCCGCCCAAGAAAGAGGGUUGAAAACUGCAAAACAUUGGCAAAAAUGACUAUUUAAUAUUUGCGUUGUAUUAGAUAAUAACUAAAGGAUCUGUAUUUGCUAGGCCUUACUGUGAAGUCUUUAUAAGAUUUCAUAUGCAUUUGAUAGGUAAAACAAAAACAAACGUAUGGAAACGCAAAAACCUAAAUAUAAUUUUUUUUUGCUAUUCAGGGUAAUGUUUGAUUAUUAGUCGGAUGCAGACUGAAUUAAAUCGUUUAAUCAAAGUACUGAUACUACUGAUAGACAGUGGAGUGUGUUAGAAAAUGCUUAGCUAAGAUGACCUUAAAACAGUAACUUCCUGAAUGAGCAAUCAUUAAUGGUGCUUCUAAGAUAAUGCCUUAUAAAUAAGCAAUUUGUUUUGUCAGAAUUUUUUGUUUAUUUCAAUAGUUUAUUCAUAUUUCAAAGUACCCUUAUAAUUAAUGUUCAAAACAUUCGGGCGCAUGUCUUGAUAACAAGAAAACAUUGAUAUACAUUGUAUAUAUAAUUGCAUCCCAAUAUAUUACUAAUUUUUUCAAACAUAUAAUUGAAAUCUAUAUGUAGCCUUUUCUAUACAUAAGAGUACAUCUUUAAAGAAGCUUUAGCAUGCAUGUAUAUAUUUUCGGUACUUUCUUCAAUUUCUUUAAUUCUACAGUACAUCUUGUAUUUGUAAAUAACAGUUGCUAUAGUAGAAAUUACGUUAUUCAAAAUGACAAUUCUGUGGUUGUUUUCAAAAUAAAAUCCAAUAAGAAUGUGUUUCCAUUUGAUGUCAAAUUUGACAUUUGACGUUAUUUCCCAUAUAUGCUUUACAUUUUCACAAAAACAAAUCAAGUGUUCAUUGUUUUCAACAUUUUCUUUACAAAAUUCACACAUGUUUGAUUCAGUUUUCUUUAUUUUCACGAGAAAAGAUUUGUUAUAUAGAAGAUUAUUGAGAAGUUUA